UCAGUGAUUCUAUCUUAAUAUCGCGGCGAGUCGUGGUCGUGAAAGCGCAAAAAAGCACUCUAAUUUCCUCAGCAUUGAUUUAGCGGAUCUUAAUUGUGUGAGGAUCUCCAUCUCUCUUUUCAAAUAUAAUUUGAGAAAAAAAAAACCAGAAUUGAACGGUCGAAUGAAAUUUCAUCAACAGGCAAAAAUGUUUUACCUCUCAAGAUUUAUUUUGGAAAAACAAGAACAGAUAAUGAAAAAAAUAUAUGUUGCAUGACGAAGAAGAAGAAGAACGCUUCAAGCUUCAAUGCCAUGGGAAGAAUGGCGGACGUUCCGUGUGCGAAAACUAGGAUCUCAUCAACGAAAUGAACGAGUAUUCCAACAAAGUAUCGUAGACAUUAAAAAGGCACUAGUCGCAUCGGCGUGGUACCGCAAAGCAGGGGAGGAGAAGGGGUUAAGCUUUUGCGACGUUGCCAAAUUGUUUGCGAACGAACCAACCAACACGACGCAAUCAACCAACCAGCCAACCAACAACCAACCAGUCAGCCAGCCAGCCAGCCAGCAAACUGACGGUUCAAUGCGUUGAGAAUUACUGACAUCGUGAACGGGACAAUCGGUCAAUUAUGCGCAAAACAGGCAUAAUUAAUCGUACAAUUGAUAGUUGUUUUUCUUUGAAAUGUUUUUUGUUUUCAUAUUGAAAAGUUAUAUAUUCAUAUAUGUAUAUAUGGAUAACAAUCAUGAAAAUAUUGACUUUUGCUUUUACUUUGGCGAAUACAUUAAUAUAUUUAACAUUUCAACAAUUUUGUACUGACAUAUACAGAAAUAAAAAUUAAUUGAAGCUAUAAAAGUAGAGAAGUAAUUUUGUCGUUGAAAAAACUACGUUCGAAAACUAUGAUUAUGAGGUUUCAAAUAUAAAUUUUUAUUUGAAAUUCUUUAGCUUUAAAAAACGUUACAUAAUUUAUCUGUUUUAAUGCUGACUAUAGAUCUAUUCUUCUUACUGCUAGCUGGAAUUUUUUAUAUCUUUUUAUCUUUCACAUUAAAUUAUAUAAUAUAUACAUAUAUACAUAUGUUUUACUUUUAGAGGAAACAACGGAGGAAGGAAAUAAAAUAUAAAGAAUGUAUCUAAACAAAAUUUGAUGAUCUUUCUAUACUCUAUCUUUCUUUGUUUCCUUUUUUCAAUAUUUCAUAAAAACAUAUUUUGCAUAGAAAAUGUAAGAGCGUGCGAGUAAGAAAGAUGAGCUUUUAUAUUCCCGGAUAAUAGAAUGCACAAGCUGGUUUUGUCGGAUUCUUCUCCUGCUUCUUGCUCAAAUUAGAAUCACAAAACUACAUAUGAUGUAAUGCAAUAUGAAUUAUGCAAAUUAUACUAUUAAGAAAGCAAAGCAUACAAUAUCUAAUAUGCAUUUUCAAUUAAUAUAUGAUGUUUUGUUGAUCUGUUAUAUUUAAUCAUGUUCGCUAUGAUUGCGUAAUUAAUAAUUAACUUCGAGUGAUUUAUCACAUAAAGUGGCGAAUUAUUUUUGACGUACAUAAAAUAUAGAAAGUCAUAGUCCUCACACUUUUCUCUCUCUCUCUCUCUCUUUCUUACUUGACUUACACAUUACAUACAUUGAUAAAUUAAAUAUUCAUCUCACUGUAUUUUUUUCUCCUCUGAUAUGUGUGAUAACAAAUUUAUAAUUAUAAAACCCUAUAUAAUCUUUUUUACUUUAUUAUUUAAUUUUUUAUUAAUAAUUUGAGAUACCAUCUCAAAUUACUAAUUAUAUUGGAUAAUUAUCUUUUUGAUACAGUCUUUCAUAAACCUCAUAAUAUCUUUUAUACUUGAUUAAAAUAUAUUAUUACAUAUUAUAAUAAUUUCAUAAAAUUAUAUAUUUUUAUAUAUUGUAAUACAUAAACAUUUUUUGCAUUGGAAUAUAGCUUUAGUUAAUUUUUCACAAUAUUUCCAUCGAAUAUUUUUUUCCGAUAUUUAGUAAUAAUUAAUAAGCUAACAUAUUUGACUUCUGCUUGCUUUGAUAUCAUUUUUCCUUUUCCGUAACAAAUCUUAUUUUUUCAGCAACAAAUGUCAUUCUUGUAAAUAAAUAGCACAAUCUUAUAAAAAAUCUUAUACUACACUAUGAAAUAUAUUUUGUUCUGUUCUAAAAUUUUAAUUAUCGCGCAAAUACUUAUUCUGUUAUAUAUUGUAUUAUAAACGGGAAAAACAAACAUUUGCGUAUAUAAUCAUGUUUUUGAUAUACGAGUAACGAAACCAUAUAUGAGAUUGUGUGUGCGUUAUCUGAAGUUAUAUUUUUAUAUAAAUGCAAUUACAUAAUUAUUCAAAAUUAUGUAAAAAUAA